AACGAACGCUGGCGGCAUGCCUAACACAUGCAAGUCGAACGAGACCUUCGGGUCUAGUGGCGCACGGGUGCGUAACGCGUGGGAAUCUGCCCUUGGGUUCGGAAUAACAGUUGGAGACGACUGCUAAUACCGGAUGAUGACGUAAGUCCAAAGAUUUAUCGCCCAGGGAUGAGCCCGCGUAGGAUUAGCUAGUUGGUGGGGUAAAGGCCUACCAAGGCGACGAUCCUUAGCUGGUCUGAGAGGAUGAUCAGCCACACUGGGACUGAGACACGGCCCAGACUCCGACGGGAGGCAGCAGUGGGGAAUAUUGGACGAUGGGCGAAAGCCUGAUACAGCAAUGCCGCGUGAGUGAUGAAGGCCUUAGGGUUGUAAAGCUCUUUUACCCGGGAUGAUAAUGACGGUACCGGGAGAAUAAGCCCCGGCUAACUCCGUG
rnacentral:rRNA from 1 species